AUCCGAAUCUUCUACUGUUGUGGAAUCACCUUAUUAACUACAAACAAGUUCUUCAUUGGGAUGAGGACAGGGAGAGAAUCAGAGCAGGUGGAGAAGAAAAAAACUUUUCUCCCAGCAAAGAAGCAAUUGUGACUGGAGGGGCCCUUUCUGAACAAAAGCGCCGAGGAGGCCUGCCUUCAACAAGGAAAACCAGGCCAGGUGCCGCGCCUGAGAGGGCUUCCCUCAUUCCCGAGCAGCCACGUCGUAGGAAAUGAACUAACUAAAGGAAACGGACUGUGAAUUUGGGAUUUCCAUUGGCUUCCCGGACUUCUCUGUUUCCCCAGGUCGUAAAGGCGCCCAUGCAGCCUUACUGACUUCAGUGCCUCUUAGCUGAGAGUUUCAUCCCAGAGGGAAUCGCAUUUUUCUCCUAUUAAGCAUUCCAGUUGUAAAUAUAAUAAGCCGCCCGGGAUCUGGACGUAUCACAGACGUAGUCUGUGAAAUAAAAAUUACCGCCACCGUUACUG